rnacentral:rRNA from 1 species
AUUGAACGCUGGCGGCAGGCCUAACACAUGCAAGUCGAACGGUAACAGGAAGAAGCUUGCUUCUUUGCUGACGAGUGGCGGACGGGUGAGUAAUGUCUGGGAAACUGCCUGAUGGAGGGGGAUAACUACUGGAAACGGUAGCUAAUACCGCAUAACGUCUCAAGACCAAAGAGGGGGACCUUCGUGCCUCUUGCCAUCGGAUGUGCCCAGAUGGGAUUAGCUAGUAGGUGGGGUAACGGCUCACCUAGGCGACGAUCCCUAGCUGGUCUGAGAGGAUGACCAGCGACACUGGAACUGAGCCACGGUCCAGACUCCUACGGGAGGCAGCAGUGGGGAAUAUUGCACAAUGGGGGCAAGCCUGAUGCAGCCAUGCCGCGUGUAUGAAGAAGGCCUUCGGGUUGUAAAGUACUUUCAGCGGGGAGGAAGGGAGUAAAGUUAAUACCUUUACUCAUUGACGUUACCCGCAGAAGAAGCACCGGCUAACUCCGUG